CCUACGGGAGGCAGCAGUGGGGAAUUUUGGACAAUGGGCGCAAGCCUGAUCCAGCAAUGCCGCGUGAGUGAAGAAGGCCUUCGGGUUGUAAAGCUCUUUUGUCAGGGAAGAAACGGUGGUUGCUAAUAUCGAUCACUAAUGACGGUACCUGAAGAAUAAGCACCGGCUAACUACGUGCCAGCAGCCGCGGUAAUACGUAGGGUGCAAGCGUUAAUCGGAAUUACUGGGCGUAAAGCGUGCGCAGGCGGUUUUGUAAGUCUGUCGUGAAAUCCCCGGGCUCAACCUGGGAAUGGCGAUGGAGACUGCAAGGCUAGAGUUUGGCAGAGGGGGGUAGAAUUCCACGUGUAGCAGUGAAAUGCGUAGAGAUGUGGAGGAACACCGAUGGCGAAGGCAGCCCCCUGGGUCAAAACUGACGCUCAUGCACGAAAGCGUGGGGAGCAAACAGGAUUAGAUACCCUGGUAGUCCACGCCCUAAACGAUGUCUACUAGUUGUCGGGUCUUAAUUGACUUGGUAACGCAGCUAACGCGUGAAGUAGACCGCCUGGGGAGGUACGGUCGCGAGAAGUAAACGUAACAAAUAGAAGUUAGUACGGACGUGAGACGUAGCCGACGGACGACGACGAGGGAGGAGGG
rnacentral:rRNA from 1 species